UGUUCACAUUACGAGAACAAAUACGUCAAAAUGAUUGUGCGUCCCAUUCGUGACUUUCCAAUAGACCAUAAUUCCUUUUCGAGUUGGUGACUUCCGGUUUCCGGUCUCGCGAAUUAUUUUUUGGACAAAAGAAACAGAGAAACAUUGCGUACUUGAUAUCCGAUGGAUCCUUCUCCUCCCAUCAACCGCUCACCACGGAUUUCAGGAGGCUACAAAGGAACAGUUUAGCAGACCCGCAGCUUUUAUGCCAUUAAUUAUUGACACAGACUUUAACCCUUAUUUUAGUGACUUGCUUGACACGAACGAAAAAAAGUUAGAAAUUUAUAUUUAUGUUGAACUUGAAAAUGCUAUUAAAUGUUCAUAGAUGACACAACUAAUGA